rnacentral:rRNA from 1 species
AGACAGCAGUAGCCGCGGGAAAACGGAGGGUGCAAGCGUUAAUCGGAAUUACUGGGCGUAAAGCGCACGCAGGCGGUCUGACAAGUCAGAUGUGAAAUCCCCGGGCUUAACCUGGGAACUGCAUUUGAAACUGUCAGGCUGGAGUCUUGUAGAGGGGGGUGGAAUUCCAGGUGUAGCGGUGAAAUGCGUAGAGAUCUGGAGGAAUACCGGUGGCGAAGGCGGCCCCCUGGACAAAGACUGACGCUCAGGUGCGAAAGCGUGGGGAGCAAACAGGAUUAGAUACCCGGGUAGUCCCUGUCUCUUAUAC